CAUAAAAUAGUGCCUUCAAGAAUGUGUGAGGACACAUCACUCUUACAUGUGCCAUUGUGACAUCCUGUAUGCAAACAGGUAGCUCUCACACUGCUUUCAUAACAACACUUAAAGCACAUGACCAUCAAUACCUUUCCUUGGUUUAAACAUGAAUGCAUCUAUUGUUUUAAACUCUAGCCUUCUUUCAAAGACAAGUUCAGUUAGAGUAGAAACGAUUUUUCCAGAGCUGGUGGUAAACUUACAUGGCAUCUGUUCAUUAGAUGAGGAAACCAAGGGAGAGGAAGGGAAAUGCAUUUGAACUCAGCAUGGGAUAAUCCUUUUGCCAUAUUCUCAGCCAAUCUGAUUGAAGUUCAUUUCAUCUUCAUCUCCUAAUUGGUCUUUCCUCGUAUUAUGGAUCAUAGAAUAUUUACCACUGAAGGUGAAAGGCCACUUUCUAAACGAAAGUCUAAGUAUUUCUGUUCCACCCUGCUAUCAAUGCUGUUAGAUUAGGUUCUUAAGUGUAAUU